UGGGGAAUAUUGGACAAUGGGCGCAAGCCUGAUCCAGCCAUGCCGCGUGAGUGAAGAAGGCCUUAGGGUCGUAAAGCUCUUUCGCCUGUGAAGAUAAUGACGGUAGCAGGUAAAGAAACCCCGGCUAACUCCGUGCCAGCAGCCGCGGUAAUACGGAGGGGGUUAGCGUUGUUCGGAAUUACUGGGCGUAAAGCGCACGUAGGCGGACUGGAAAGUUGGGGUGAAAUCCCGGGGCUCAACCCCGGAACUGCCUCCAAAACUAUUGGUCUAGAGUUCGAGAGAGGUGAGUGGAAUUCCAAGUGUAGAGGUGAAAUUCGUAGAUAUUUGGAGGAACACCAGUGGCGAAGGCGGCUCACUGGCUCGAUACUGACGCUGAGGUGCGAAAGUGUGGGGAGCAAACAGGAUUAGAUACCCUGGUAGUCCACACCGUAAAACGAUGAAUGCCAGUCGUCGGGUAGCAUGCUAUUCGGUGACACACCUAACGGAUUAAGCAUUCCGCCUGGGGAGUACGGUCGCAAGAUUAAAA
rnacentral:rRNA from 1 species